rnacentral:rRNA from 1 species
UACGUAGGGGGCAAGCGUUGUCCGGAUUUAUUGGGCGUAAAGAGCGUGUAGGCGGUUUGGUAGGUCCGCUGUGAAAACUCGAGCUCAACCUCGAGACGCCGGUGGAAACCAUCAGACUAGAGUCCGGAAGAGGAGAGUGGAAUUCCUGGUGUAGCGGUGAAAUGCGCAGAUAUCAGGAGGAACACCUGCGGUGUAGACGGCUUUCUGGACCAUUGUUGACGUGAGACACGAAAGCGUGGGUAGCAAACAGG